GUUUUAUGUCAUCCCCACACAGCUAGUGUUAUCUGGGAAGAGAAACCUCAGUUGAGAAGAUGCUUCCAUUAGAUUGCUUGAGAUUAGUGCUGCUCCCAAGAUUGGACAGAGAACAUUCUGUUUGCAGCGGGAAGCAAUUAAUGCAGAGAUCCGGAAUUUUUAGAGCACCCCGUGACCCUUGUGAUGGCAGACACAAGUCACACACAUUCAUGCAAACCUGUAGAAUGGAUGGCAACAAGAGUGAAGCAUGGAUUCUAGAUGGGAGUGACAUACCAA